AAGGCACGCGCGGGAGAGAGCCCCCGAACCCGUCCCUGGAGGAUCGGGCAGGGGGCCGCCGAAGGAGCAACCGCCCCGGAAUCUCUCAGGCAGAAGGACCGCGCGGGCCAA
rnacentral:ncRNA from 2 species